GAGUUUGAUCUUGGCUCGGGAUGAACGCUGGCGGCGUGCCUAAUACAUGCAAGUCGAGCGAACGGACGAGAAGCUUGCUUCUCUGAUGUUAGCGGCGGACGGGUGAGUAACACGUGGAUAACCUACCUAUAAGACUGGGAUAACUUCGGGAAACCGGAGCUAAUACCGGAUAAUAUUUUGAACCGCAUGGUUCAAAAGUGAAAGACGGUCUUGCUGUCACUUAUAGAUGGAUCCGCGCUGCAUUAGCUAGUUGGUAAGGUAACGGCUUACCAAGGCAACGAUGCAUAGUCGACCUGAGAGGGUGAUCGGCCACACUGGAACUGAGACACGGUCCAGACUCCUACGGGAGGCAGCAGUAGGGAAUCUUCCGCAAUGGGCGAAAGCCUGACGGAGCAACGCCGCGUGAGUGAUGAAGGUCUUCGGAUCGUAAAACUCUGUUAUUAGGGAAGAACAUAUGUGUAAGUAACUGUGCACAUCUUGACGGUACCUAAUCAGAAAGCCACGGCUAACUACGUGACCG
rnacentral:rRNA from 1 species